rnacentral:rRNA from 1 species
CCUACGGGUGGCAGCAGUAGGGAAUAUUGCUCAAUGGGGGAAACCCUGAAGCAGCAACGCAGCGUGGAGGAUGAAGGUUCUCGGAUUGUAAACUCCUUUUGUUAGAGAAGUUAAUGACGGUAUCUAACGAAUUAGCACCGGCUAACUCCGUGCCAGCAGCCGCGGUACUACGGAGGGUGCCAGCGUUAUUCGGAAUCACUGGGCGUAAAGCGCGCGUAGGCGGGAUAGCAAGUCAGAUGUGAAAUCCUAUGGCUUAACCAUAGAACUGCAUUUGAAACUGUUAUUCUAGAGUAUGGGAGAGGUAGGUGGAAUUCGUGGUGUAGGGGUAAAAUCCGUAGAGAUCAAGAGGAAUACUCAUUGCGAAGGCGACCUGCUAGAACAUAACUGACGCUGAUGCGCGAAAGCGUGGGUAGCAAACAGGAUUAGAUACCCCAGUAGUC